CCUACGGGUGGCAGCAGUGGGGAAUAUUGCACAAUGGGCGAAAGCCUGAUGCAGCAACGCCGCGUGAAGGAAGACGGUUUUCGGAUUGUAAACUUCUAUCAAUAGGGAAGAUAGUAAUGACGGUACCCAAAUAAGAAGCCCCGGCUAACUACGUGCCAGCAGCCGCGGUAAUACGUAGGGGGGCAGCGUUAUCCGGAAUUACUGGGGGUAAAGGGAGAGGAGGGGGCAAGGUAAGCGAUAUGUGAAAGCCUUAGGCUUAACCAAAGGAUUGCAUAACGAACUAUCUAGCUAGAGUACAGGAGAGGAAAGCGGAAUUCCUAGUGUAGGGGUGAAAUGCGUAGAUAUUAGGAAGAACACCAGUGGCGAAGGCGACUUUCUGGACUGAAACUGACGCUGAGGCUCGAAAGCGUGGGGAGCGAACAGGAUUAGAUACCCCAGUAGUC
rnacentral:rRNA from 1 species